UUGUCACACUCCUACGGGAGGCAGCAGUGGGGAAUAUUGCACAAUGGGGGAAACCCUGAUUGCUAGCCAUGCCGCGUGUAUGAAGAAGGCCUUCGGGUGUAAAGUACUUUCAGCAGUGAGGAAGGUGGAUAUGUUAAUAGCAUAUUCAUUUGACGUUAGCUGCAGAAGAAGCACCGGCUAACUCCGUGCCAGCAGCCGCGGUAAUACGGAGGGUGCGAGCGUUAAUCGGAAUUACUGGGCGUAAAGCGCAUGCAGGUGGUUUGUUAAGUCAGAUGUGAAAGCCCCGGGGCUCAACCUCGGAAUUGCAUUUGAAACUGGCAAACUAGAGUACUGUAGAGGGGGUAGAAUUUCAGGUGUAGCGGUGAAAUGCGUAGAGAUCUGAAGGAAUACCGGUGGCGAAGGCGGCCCCCUGGACAGAUACUGACACUCAGAUGCGAAAGCGUGGGGAGCAAACAGGAUUAGAUACCCUGGUAG
rnacentral:rRNA from 1 species